UCCCGCGUAGCUCAGUUGGCAGAGCAAUCGGCUGUUAACCGAUAGGUCACUGGUUCGAGCCCAGUCGCGGGAG
rnacentral:tRNA from 1 species